rnacentral:rRNA from 1 species
UACGUAGGGGGCAAGCGUUAUCCGGAUUUACUGGGUGUAAAGGGGGCGCAGACGGCGAUGCAAGUCUGAAGUGAAAGGCGGGGGCCCAACCCCGUCGAGCCGUUGAAACUGUCAGACUUGAGUUGGCGAGAAGUACGCGGAAUGCGCGGUGUAGCGGUGAAAUGCAUAGAUAUCGCGCAGAACUCCGAUUGCGAAGGCAGCGUACCGGCGCCACACUGACGCUGAGGCACGAAAGCGUGGGGAUCGAACAGG